UACGUAGGGACCGAGCGUUGUCCGGAAUCAUUGGGCGUAAAGAGCGUGUAGGCGGCCACUUAAGUCUUGCGUGAAAUCUUGCGGCUCAACCGCAAGCGGUCGUGGGAAACUGGGUGGCUAGAGUGCGGGAGAGGAGAGUGGGAAUUCCUGGUGUAGCGGUGGAAUGCGCAGAUAUCAGGAAGAACACCCGUGGCGAAGGCGGCUCUCUGGAACGCAACUGACGCUGAGACGCGAAAGCGUGGGGAGCAAACAGG
rnacentral:rRNA from 1 species